rnacentral:snoRNA from 1 species
GGCCAGGGUUUGAAUCCUGGCUCUGCCAUUUACUCACUGUGAGACCCUGGGCAAAUUACUUAAACUCUCCUUGCCUCAGUUUACUCAUGUGUAAAAUGGGAAGGAUAAUAUUUUCUGAGGUGGUUGUGAGGACUAAAA